rnacentral:lncRNA from 1 species
UUUUAAUUUCUGUUUUAUUUUUUCUUUUAUUCCAUUUAUUUUCAAAAUCUCAUAACUCCUUUAUUUGGGAUCACAAAAAUAUGGGACCAAUUGCAAAAAAAUUCUCUUAAAUUCUAGUUUCAUAAUAUGAUUUUUAAUUAUUUUGUGAUUCCAUUUAAUAUUUUUUGUGAAUUAUUUUGUUUUUGAUAGUUUUUAAUUCAUUUAAAAUACCUUUUGAUAUUCAAAAAUGCCAAAAAUAUUUUCUUAACAUGUAGGAAUGAUGAUAAGUCAAUGAAAAAU